rnacentral:rRNA from 1 species
UGCGGAGAUCAUUGAAUAUGCAAACCACAACACGCACUCUUUUACUUGCGCGACGACGCUAGGUCAACACAGAAAGUGUGGGGGCCUAUUUCAACCUACACACCAUUGUCCAACCAAUGAUUAAACCAAACUCUGAAGCUUUGGCUGCUGUUAAUCGGCGGCUUCAACGAAAACAACUCUCAACAACGGAUAUCUUGGCUCUCGCAACGAUGAAGAACGCAGCGAAAUGCGAUACGUAGUGUGAAUUGCAGAAUUCCGUGAACCAUCGAAUCUUUGAACGCAUAUUGCCGCUCGACUCUCCGGAGAAGAGCAUGUCUGCCUCAGCGUCGGUUUACACCCUCAUCCCACUUGCUUUUCCAAGCACUUGCUGUGUUUGCUCAAACCAGCAGUUGGGGUGGAUCUGGCUCUCUCAAUCAGUGGCAACACCGGUUGGGUUGGCUGAAGCACAGAGGCUUACACUGGGACCCGUAUCGGGCUCAACUGGAUAGGUAGCAACACCCUCGGGUGCCUACACGAAGUUGUGUCUGAGGACCUGGUGCGAGGCCAAGCAGGAAACAUGCUUCGCCGCAUGUAUCAUGGGUUCGACCUGAGCUCAGGCAAGGCUACCCGCUGAACUUAAGCAUAUCACUAA